rnacentral:rRNA from 1 species
AGAGGGUGCAAGCGUUAAUCGGAAUUACUGGGCGUAAAGCGCGCGUAGGUGGUUUGUUAAGUUGGAUGUGAAAUCCCCGGGCUCAACCUGGGAACUGCAUUCAAAACUGACUGACUAGAGUAUGGUAGAGGGUGGUGGAAUUUCCUGUGUAGCGGUGAAAUGCGUAGAUAUAGGAAGGAACACCAGUGGCGAAGGCGACCACCUGGACUAAUACUGACACUGAGGUGCGAAAGCGUGGGGAGCAAAC